rnacentral:rRNA from 1 species
GCGUAAAAAUUCCGUUAAUUUUGGGGGCUUAAAACUAUUACCGAAGCUUCAAACAAAGAAAUUUUAAAUCUUUUUUGUGGUAGCAGAACAUUCCGUAGGUUGUAAAAAUUAUAGUGUGAACUAUAGUGAAAAUACCGGAAGUGAGAAUACUUGCAUGAGUAGCAUAUAACAAUGAAAAGCAUUGUGGCCGUAAGUCCAAGGUCUUCGAUUAUAAGUAAAACUAGGUCGGGAGAAGUUUAAACUUCUACAAAAAACGGUCCCUAAGCUGUCAAGCCAAAGCUUGUAGUAAUGGGUAAGAUUAUACUGUGAUAAGUAACUGACGAAAAAUUCACUUUAUUUUUGAAUUAAUCAAUGGUAAAUUAUUUUUUCCAAGAAAAAGGUACUUUAUAA